AGAGUUUGAUCCUGGCUCAGAACGAACGCUGGCGGCGCGUCUUAAGCAUGCAAGUCGGACGGCAAGGGUUGUGCUUGCACAACUCCUAGAGUGGCGGACUGGUGAGUAACGCGUGGGUGACCUGCCCUCGAGAUGGGGAUAGCCAUUAGAAAUAGUGGAUAAUACCGAAUACGCUCAUGACCCUGUGGGGAUAUGAGGAAAACAGGCUACGGCCUGGCUCGAGGAUGGGCCCGCGUCCCAUUAGCUAGUUGGUGAGGUAACGGCCCACCAAGGCGACGAUGGGUAUCCGGCCUGAGAGGGUGUACGGACACAUUGGGACUGAGAUACGGCCCAAACUCCUACGGGAGGCAGCAGCUAAGAAUAUUCCGCAAUGGACGAAAGUCUGACGGAGCGACGCCGCGUGGAUGAAGAAGGCCGGAAGGUUGUAAAAUCCUUUUGCUGAUGAAGAAUAAGUGUGGUAGGGAAUGACCGCAUGAUGACAUUAGUCGGUGAAUAAGCCCCGGCUAACUACGUGCCAGCAGCCGCGGUAACACGUAGGGGGCAAGCGUUGUUCGGAAUUAUUGGGCGUAAAGGGCAUGUAGGCGGUUUCGUAAGCCUGGUGUGAAAUCCUGCAGCUUAACUGCAGAAUUGCAUUGGGUACUGCGAGACUUGAAUCACAGAGGGGAAACUAGAAUUCCAGGUGUAGGGGUGGAAUCUGUAGAUAUCUGGAAGAAUACCGGUGGCGAAGGCGGGUUUCUAGCUGAUGAUUGACGCUGAGGUGCGAAAGUGCGGGGAGCAAACAGGAUUAGAUACCCUGGUAGUCCGCACCGUAAACUAUGUACACUAGGUGUAGGGGCAUGAGUCUCUGUGCCGAAGCUAACGUGAUAAGUGUACCGCCUGGGAAGUAUGCCCGCAAGGGUGAAACUCAAAGGAAUUGACGG
rnacentral:rRNA from 1 species